AGUAAAUUGGUUAAGUUAGAAAGGGCGCACGGUGGAUGCCUUGGCACUAGGAGCCGAAGAAGGACGGGACUAACACCGAUAUGCUUUGGGGAGCUGUACGUAAGCGUUGAUCCAGAGAUUUCCGAAUGGGGGAACCCACUAUCUUUAGUCGGAUAGUAUCCUUACGUGAAUACAUAGCGUGAGGAAGGCAGACCCAGGGAACUGAAACAUCUAAGUACCUGGAGGAAGAGAAAGAAAAAUCGAUUUCCUGAGUAGCGGCGAGCGAAACGGAAAGAGCCCAAACCAAGAAGCUUGCUUCUUGGGGGUGUAGGACACUCUAUACGGAGUUACAAAAGAAAGUUAUAAAUGAAGCGGUCUGGAAAGGCCCGCCAAAGACGGUAACAGCCCGGUAGUUGAAAUGGCUUUCCCUCCAGAGUGGAUCCUGAGUACGGCGGAACACGUGAAAUUCCGUCGGAAUCCGGGAGGACCAUCUCCCAAGGCUAAAUACUCCCUAGUGACCGAUAGUGAACCAGUACCGUGAGGGAAAGGUGAAAAGCACCCCGGAAGGGGAGUGAAACAGUUCCUGAAACCGUGUGCCUACAAGUAGUUAGAGCCCAUUAAUGGGUGAUAGCGUGCCUUUUGUAGAAUGAACCGGCGAGUUACGAUUUGUUGCAAGGUUAAGCGGAAAAAGCGGAGCCGUAGCGAAAGCGAGUCUGAAUAGGGCGCAUAAGUAACAGGUCGUAGACCCGAAACCAGGUGAUCUACCCAUGUCCAGGAUGAAGGUAAGGUAAUACUUACUGGAGGUCCGAACCCACGCACGUUGAAAAGUGCGGGGAUGAGGUGUGGGUAGCGGAGAAAUUCCAAUCGAACUUGGAGAUAGCUGGUUCUCUCCGAAAUAGCUUUAGGGCUAGCCUCGAGGUAAAGAGUCAUGGAGGUAGAGCACUGUUUGGACUAGGGGCCCUUCUCGGGUUACCGAAUUCAGAUAAACUCCGAAUGCCAUGUACUUAUACUCGGGAGUCAGACUGCGAGUGAUAAGAUCCGUAGUCGAAAGGGAAACAGCCCAGACCACCAGUUAAGGUCCCCAAAUAUAUGUUAAGUGGAAAAGGAUGUGGGGUUGCUUAGACAACCAGGAUGUUGGCUUAGAAGCAGCCACCAUUGAAAGAGUGCGUAAUAGCUCACUGGUCGAGUGACCCCGCGCCGAAAAUGUACCGGGGCUAAACAUAUUACCGAAACUGUGGAUGAACCUCUUUAGAGGUUCGUGGUAGGAGAGCGUUCUAAGGGCGGUGAAGUCAGACCGGAAGGACUGGUGGAGCGCUUAGAAGUGAGAAUGCCGGUAUGAGUAGCGAAAGAAGGGUGAGAAUCCCUUCCACCGAAUAUCUAAGGUUUCCUGAGGAAGGCUCGUCCGCUCAGGGNGUGACACAGAAGGAUAGGGAAUCGCACGAAUGGAAAUGUGCGUCCAAGCAGUGAGUGUGAGAAGUAGGCAAAUCCGCUUCUCACGAAGCAUGAGCUGUGAUGGGGAAGGAAAUUAAGUACGGAAGUUCCUGAUUUCACGCUGUCAAGAAAAGCCUCUAGGAAGAGUAGUACUGCCCGUACCGCAAACCGACACAGGUAGAUGAGGAGAGAAUCCUAAGGUGAGCGAGAGAACUCUCGUUAAGGAACUCGGCAAAAUGACCCCGUAACUUCGGGAGAAGGGGUGCUCUAUUAGGGUGCAAGCCCGAGAGAGCCGCAGUGAAUAGGCCCAGGCGACUGUUUAGCAAAAACACAGGUCUCUGCAAAACCGUAAGGUGACGUAUAGGGGCUGACGCCUGCCCGGUGCUGGAAGGUUAAGAGGAGUGCUUAGCUUCGGCGAAGGUACGAAUUGAAGCCCCAGUAAACGGCGGCCGUAACUAUAACGGUCCUAAGGUAGCGAAAUUCCUUGUCGGGUAAGUUCCGACCCGCACGAAAGGCGCAACGAUCUGGGCACUGUCUCAACGAGAGACUCGGUGAAAUUAUAGUACCUGUGAAGAUGCAGGUUACCCGCGACAGGACGGAAAGACCCCGUGGAGCUUUACUGCAACCUGAUAUGGAAUGUUUGUACCGCUUGUACAGGAUAGGUAGGAGCCGAAGAGACGUGUGCGCUAGCAUACGAGGAGGCAAUGGUGGGAUACUCCCCUGGCUGUAUGACCAUUCUAACCCGCCACGCUUAGCGCGUGGGGAGACAGUGUCAGGUGGGCAGUUUGACUGGGGCGGUCGCCUCCUAAAGAGNUCCCUCAGAAUGGAUGGAAAUCAUUCGCAGAGUGUAAAGGCACAAGGGAGCUUGACUGCGAGACUGACAAGUCGAGCAGGGACGAAAGUCGGGCUUAGUGAUCCGGUGGUUCCGCAUGGAAGGGCCAUCGCUCAACGGAUAAAAGCUACCCCGGGGAUAACAGGCUUAUCUCCCCCAAGAGUCCACAUCGACGGGGAGGUUUGGCACCUCGAUGUCGGCUCGUCGCAUCCUGGGGCUGUAGUCGGUCCCAAGGGUUGGGCUGUUCGCCCAUUAAAGCGGCACGCGAGCUGGGUUCAGAACGUCGUGAGACAGUUCGGUCCCUAUCCGUCGCGGGCGCAGGAAAUUUGAGAGGAGCUGUCCUUAGUACGAGAGGACCGGGAUGGACACACCGCUGGUGUACCAGUUGUUCCGCCAGGAGCAUCGCUGGGUAGCUAUGUGUGGCAGGGAUAAACGCUGAAAGCAUCUAAGCGUGAAGCCCCCCUCAAGAUGAGAUUUCCCAUUUCUUCGGAAAGUAAGAUCCCUGAAAGAUGAUCAGGUAGAUAGGUUUGGAGUGGAAGUGUAGCGAUACAUGGAGCGGACAAAUACUAAUCGAUCGAGGACUUAACCAAAA
rnacentral:rRNA from 1 species